rnacentral:rRNA from 1 species
UGGGGAAUUUUGGACAAUGGGGGAAACCCUGAUCCAGCCAUCCCGCGUGUGCGAUGAAGGCCUUCGGGUUGUAAAGCACUUUUGGCAGGAAAGAAACGUCAUGGGUUAAUACCCCGUGAAACUGACGGUACCUGCAGAAUAAGCACCGGCUAACUACGUGCCAGCAGCCGCGGUAAUACGUAGGGUGCAAGCGUUAAUCGGAAUUUCUGGGCGUAAAGCGUGCGCAGGCGGUUCGGAAAGAAAGAUGUGAAAUCCCAGAGCUCAACUUUGGAACUGCAUUUUUAACUACCGGGCUAGAGUGUGUCAGAGGGAGGUGGAAUUCCGCGUGUAGCAGUGAAAUGCGUAGAUAUGCGGAGGAACACCGAUGGCGAAGGCAGACUCCUGGGAUAACACUGACGCUCAUGCACGAAAGCGUGGGGAGCAAACAGG